rnacentral:rRNA from 1 species
GACGUAGGGCGCGAGCGUUGUCCGGAUUUAUUGGGCGUAAAGAGCUCGUAGGCGGCUUGUUGCGUCGACCGUGAAAACCCGGGGCUCAACUUCGGGCUUGCGGUCGAUACGGGCGGGCUAGAGUUCGGUAGGGGAGACUGGAAUUCCUGGUGUAGCGGUGAAAUGCGCAGAUAUCCGGAGGAACACCAGUGGCGAAGGCGACACGCUGGGCCGUACCUGACACUGAUGCGCGACAGCAUGGGGAGCAAACAGG